rnacentral:misc_RNA from 1 species
GAAAUGCGAUAAGUAAUGUGAAUUGCAGAAUUCAGUGAAUCAUCGAAUCUUUGAACGCACAUUGCGCUCGCCAGUAUUCUGGCGAGCAUGCCUGUUCGAGCGUCAUUUCAACCAUCAAGCUCUGCUUGCGUUGGGGAUCCGCGGCUGCCCGCGGUCCCUCAAAAACAGUGGCGGGCUCGCUAUUCACACCGAGCGUAGUAACUCUACAUCGCUAUGGUCGUGCGGCGGGUUCUUGCCGUAAAACCCCCAAUUUCUAAGGUUGACCUCGGAUCAGGUAGGAAUACCCGCUGAACUUAAGC